rnacentral:lncRNA from 1 species
CUUUUCCUGCAGAGGGUGCUUCACUAGAACAACUUUUCUGAUUUUUUAUUCCUUUGCAUACUCCUCUCUAGGAGAAGUGAAGUGGCUUAUGUUUUUCAUCAGUUUCAAAGCCCCCUCUUCUCAUAUUUUCUCCCCUCUUUGGGACCCAGCUGCCAAGGAACAGGCUUUGUGUCCCAUCCCCCAUGCGUUCCUUUGCCUGCAUUAAGCAUUCAGAAGUCAAGAAAAGAAGAGUGUGGUUUCUUGGGCUGCUUCAGAAGCCAAAAUUAAGAAUGCAGUAGUGAAAAUGUGACUAUGAUCAUCUCAGAGCACUGUGUGGAUAAAAUGGCUAUCAAAGUAAAAAUUCCUAUUUACCAUACUGAAGACUUCUGACUCUUGAGGCAAAAGGAAUUCUGAGGGCAUAAAUGGGAGACCUUCUAUUUUAUAGAAGUUUUGGAUUCUGCAAGUUCCAGGCUCAAUACUGGUGUGGGACCACUUAGCUCCUUUCAAUGAAUUUAUGAUUAAGCAAGAGUUUCAAGUUCUGCCUCAAUCUUGCCAGAGCCCUAAGGCAUAGUCCCUGGAUGACAGAGCUGAUGAAGACAUCUGCCUCAAGGGCUACUUCUGGGCAUCCUGUGAGUCAAGAUGCUGAGACAUACAGUUUCACUUAUUUUUGACAUCCUGAAGGCAACUGGAUGUUUCAAGUUCAGAUGAUGAGAAAGGUCUCCAUAAAAUUCAAGCUUUGGGGUAUGAAAACAGUGUUCAAAUAAAGCUGCUAGAGGUGCUUUCAAACACUGCCAAAAACGAAGAUGACAUGAUGAUAAUCUAAUAGACUUGGAGCCAGCAUCUGACA